GUCUACGGCCAUACCACCCGGAAUGCGCCCGAUCUUGUCUGAUCUCAGAAGCUAAGCAGGGUCGGGCCUGGUUAGUACUUGGAUGGGAGAAU
rnacentral:rRNA from 1 species